AGAAGAACUUAAUUAGAAUUCUGUCGCUGGUGAGUUCUUUCGCUCCAGUUGGAAAAUUUGCAACACCGUUCUAGCUGUUUGAUUUCGAAAUCACUCUCUACUCAAGAAGUGUCCUGCAAAUUGGGAGAAGAGCUUUAUUUUUUCCGGCCAAGACAAUGUUCAUGUUUGUUCUUUGUCUUUGCGCUGUAAUUGGGGGUAAUGGAGGCGGUGGAAAACAUGAAAAUGGACUUGGAAUCAGAAGCGACUCUAGUGAGGGAGGCUCAGGGUACGCUGAAUUGUCGACGUGGUCUCUGUGGACCAAAUGGAGCGAUUGCAGCAGCAGCUGCGGCGAGGGAAGCAAGAGGUUCCGACAACGCACGUGCGGUAACGUCAUCAACAGGAUACACCGGAAGUGUUCGGGAAACAGUUUACAGAUUGAAUCCUGUACAGUUCCACCCUGCUGAAAAGGAUCAAGCUGUUAGCUCAAGAGUAUGAAGGGAACUUUCAAACGCCUUUUACGAUCCACUUUUUCUGAAAUUAUAGCGCUAAACUUGAGGAAAAAAGCUGGAAUUCAAUUUAGUAAGCGGUAUUCACGAAUUUAAAAUUAGACGAAGUGCU
rnacentral:misc_RNA from 1 species